rnacentral:rRNA from 1 species
GAUGAACGCUGGCGGCGUGCCUAAUACAUGCAAGUCGAGCGAACAGACGAGGAGCUUGCUCCUUUGACGUUAGCGGCGGACGGGUGAGUAACACGUGGAUAACCUACCUAUAAGACUGGGAUAACUUCGGGAAACCGGAGCUAAUACCGGAUAACAUGUUGAACCGCAUGGUUCAACAGUGAAAGACGGUCUUGCUGUCACUUAUACAUGGAUCCGCGCCGCAUUAGCUAGUUGGUAAGGUAACGGCUUACCAAGGCAACGAUGCGUAGCCGACCUGAGAGGGUGAUCGGCCACACUGGAACUGAGAGACGGUCCAGACUCCUACGGGAGGCAGCAGUAGGGAAGCGUGCGAAAUGGGCGAAAGCCUGACGGAGCAACGCCGGGUGAGUGAAGAAGGUCUUCGGAUCGUAAAACUCUGUUAUUAGGGAAGACCAAAUGUGUAAGUAACUAUGCACGUCUUGACGGUACCUAGUCAGAAAGCCACGGCUAACUACGUG